UCGAACGGAAUUAAAAGGGAAUCCCGGUGAAAAUCCGGAGCUGUACUCGCAGCUGUAAGUCCUAUUAAAGUUUAUCGCACUCUUUGCCACUGGUGAAAGCUGGGAAGGCGCGAUAAGCGGGAUGAGCCAGAAGACCUGCUUGAUGAGAUA
rnacentral:ncRNA from 5 species